GAAUGGCAGACGCGCUAGCUUGAGGUGCUAGUGCCCUUUAUCGGGCGUGGGGGUUCAAGUCCCCCCUCGGACA
rnacentral:tRNA from 1 species